AGCAUAUCAAUAAGCGGAGGAAAAGAAACUAACCAGGAUUCCCUUAAUAACUGCGAGUGAAGAGGGAAAAGCUCAAAUUUAAAAUCUGGCGGUCAGUUUGGCCGUCCGAGUUGUAAAUUAGAGAAGCGUUUAUCCGCGCUGGACCGUGCAAAAGUCUCUUGGAAAGGAGCAUCAUAGAGGGUGACAAUCCCGUCUUUGGCACGGACUACCAGGGCAUUUGUGAUGCGCUCUCAAAGAGUCGAGUUGUUUGGGAAUGCAGCUCUAAAUGGGUGGUAAACUCCAUCUAAAGCUAAAUAUUGGCGAGAGACCGAUAGCGCACAAGUACCGUGAGGGAAAGAUGAAAAGGACUUCGAAAAGAGAGUUAAACAGUACGUGAAAUUGUUGAAAGGGAAACGCUUGAAGUCAGUCGCGUUCUUCAGAAAUCAACUUUGACCUUUGGGUUGAGUGCACUUUCUGUUUGGACGGGUCAGCAUCAAUUUUGACCGCCGGAAAAGGGCUUGGGGAAAGUGACAUCCUUUGUUGAUGUGUUAUAGACCCGAGUACAUAUUACGGUGGUUGGGAUUGAGGAACGCAGCGCAUUUAACUGGGGCCUAUCGCUCACACAGUGUC
rnacentral:rRNA from 1 species